rnacentral:rRNA from 1 species
GCAGUGAGGAAUAUUGGUCAAUGGGCGCAAGCCUGAACCAGCCAUGCCGCGUGUAGGAUGACGCAUCUAUGGUGUGUAAACUACUUUUGUACAGGAAGAAACACUGCUACGUGUAGCAGCUUGACGGUACUGUAAGAAUAAGGAUCGGCUAACUCCGUGCCAGCAGCCGCGGUAAUACGGAGGAUCCAAGCGUUAUCCGGAAUCAUUGGGUUUAAAGGGUCCGUAGGCGGUUUUAUAAGUCAGUGGUGAAAUCCGGUAGCUCAACUAUCGAACGGCCAUUGAUACUGUAGAACUUGAAUUAUUGUGAAGUAACUAGAAUAUGUAGUGUAGCGGUGAAAUGCUUAGAUAUUACAUGGAAUACCCAUUGCGAAGGCAGGUUACUAACAAUAUAUUGACGCUGAUGGACGAAAGCGUGGGGAGCGAACAGGAUUAGA